rnacentral:rRNA from 1 species
CCUACGGGAGGCUGCAGUGGGGAAUAUUGGGCAAUGGGCGCAAGCCUGACCCAGCCAAGUCGCGUGAGGGAGUACGGCCCUAUGGGUUGUAAACCUCUUUUGUCGGGGAGCAAAAGCCGGACGUGUCCGGCUGUGAGAGUAACCGAAGAAAAAGCAACGGCUAACUCCGUGCCAGCAGCCGCGGUAAUCCGGAGGAUGCGAGCGUUGUCCGGGUUUAUGGGGUUUAAGGGGUGCGCAGGCGGAUUUUUAAGUCGGCGGGAAAAUCGGGGGGCUAAACCCCAUCCAGCCGUUGAAACUGGGGAUCUUGAGUGUGCGAGAGGUAUGCGGAAUGCGUGGUGUAGCGGUGAAAUGCAUAGAUAUCACGCAGAACCCCGAUUGCGAAGGCAGCAUACCGGUGCACAACUGACGCUCAGGCACGAAAGCGUGGGUAUCGAACAGGAUUAGAUACCCGAGUAGUC